rnacentral:rRNA from 1 species
GAUGAACGCUGGCGGCGUGCUUAACACAUGCAAGUCGAACGGAAAGGCUCCUGCUUGCAGGGGUACUCGAGUUGCGAACGGGUGAUUAACACUUGGGUGAUCUGCCCUGCACUUCGGGAUAAGCUUGGGAAACUUGGUCUAAUACCGGAUAGGACCGCAUUUUGGAUGGUGUGGUGGAAAGUUUUUUCGGUGUGGGAUGAGCUCGCGGCCUAUCAGCUUGUUGGUGGGGUAAUGGCCUACCAAGGCGUCGACGGGUAGCCGGCCUGAGAGGGUGUAAGGCAACAUUGGGACUGAGAUACGGCCAAGACUCCUACGGGAGGCAGCAGUGGGGAAUAUUGCACAAUGGGCGCAAGCCUGAUGCAGCGACGCCGCGUGGGGGAUGACGGCCUUCGGGUUGUAAACUCCUUUCGCUAGGGACGAAGAGUAAUUGACGGUACCUGGAGAAGAAGCACCGGCUAACUACGUG